rnacentral:rRNA from 1 species
GGCGAACGCUGGCGGCGUGCUUAACACAUGCAAGUCGAACGGAAAGGCCUGCUUUCCCUUGUGGAUUGCGGGUACUCGAGUGGCGAACGGGUGAGUAACACGUGAGUGAUCUGCCCCCAACUUGGGUAUAAGCCUGGGAAACUGGGUCUAAUUCCCGAUAGGACUGCAGGGUGGUGCCUGUGGUGGAAAACGUUUUUCUUGUGGUUGGGGAUGAGCUCGCGGCCUAUCAGCUUGUUGGUGGGGUACUGGCCUACCAAGGCGGCGACGGGUAGCCGGCCUGGGAGGGUGGACGGCCGCAUUGGGACUGCGAUACGGCCCCGACUCCUACGGGAGGCAGCAGUGGGGAAUAUUGCACAAUGGGCGGAAGCCUGAUGCAGCGACGCCGCGUGGGGGAUGACGGCCUUCGGGUUGUAACCUCCUUUCGACCGCGAGGAAGCCACCUGGUUGGAAGGGUGGUGACGGUAGUGGUAGAAGAAGCACCGGCUAACUACGUG